AAGUCGUAACAAGGUUUCCGUAGGUGAACCUGCGGAAGGAUCAUUACCGAGUUAGGGUCUUAUAGUAUAGGCUCGACCUCCAACCCUUUGUCUACUAUACCACUUGUUGCUUCGGCGAGCCCGUCUCUUGAAAUAUAGAGGCCGCCGGGGGUUUAUACCCCUAGUCCGCGCUCGUCGAUAGCCAUUAUUAAACUCUUGUUUAACUGUGUCGUCUAAGUAAAAAACUUAAUUAAACCAAAACUUUCAACAACGGAUCUCUUGGUUCUG
rnacentral:misc_RNA from 1 species